CCAGAGUACAGUAUCAGCUGAGCUGACCUUACUCUGAGGACUAACUCUUUUGCUGGAAGCGGUUUCUGAUUUACAGCUCUUGGUUUCUCCCAGACAUGUUGGUGGGAGAGAUUUUGGUUUUUAAGGGGUUGUUAGAUGGAGUAAAUUUUCUUUUUUUUUUUUUUUUUUUUUAACUAAAAAGGGGUCACAGAAUUUCAGCAGUUCUCUGAUUUUUAUAUUUUAUUCCUCUUCCUAUCCAAUCCCUGCCUUUUGAGUCCAGGUGGUAAGUACAUUUUCUUUAACGUUUUUCCUGCUUUUCUUCCCAAAUGUGUCUUUUUCUUUGGGCUACUGUACCCUGCUUCCAGUGCUGUCCCCGGCAUAGGUCCAUCUCUGCAGAAGCCAUUUCAGGAGUACCUGGAGGCUCAACGGCAGAAGCUUCACCACAAAAGCGAAAUGGGCACACCACAGGGAGAAAACUGGUUGUCCUGGAUGUUUGAAAAGUUGGUCGUUGUCAUGGUGUGUUACUUCAUCCUAUCUAUCAUUAACUCCAUGGCACAAAGUUAUGCCAAACGAAUCCAGCAGCGGUUGAACUCAGAGGAGAAAACUAAAUAAGUAGAGAAAGUUUUAAACUGCAGAAAUUGGAGUGGAUGGGUUCUGCCUUAAAUUGGGAGGACUCCAAGCCGGGAAGGAAAAUUCCCUUUUCCAACCUGUAUCAAUUUUUACAACUUUUUUCCUGAAAGCAGUUUAGUCCAUACUUUGCACUGACAUACUUUUUCCUUCUGUGCUAAGGUAAGGUAUCCACCCUCGAUGCAAUCCACCUUGUGUUUUCUUAGGGUGGAAUGUGAUGUUCAGCAGCAAACUUGCAACAGACUGGCCUUCUGUUUGUUACUUUCAAAAGGCCCACAUGAUACAAUUAGAGAAUUCCCACCGCACAAAAAAAGUUCCUAAGUAUGUUAAAUAUGUCAAGCUUUUUAGGCUUGUCACAAAUGAUUGCUUUGUUUUCCUAAGUCAUCAAA
rnacentral:lncRNA from 1 species